AUUAUGCAGAUGGUUCUCUACCUGGCCGCCACCAUGUUAUCUGUUCCUUACCAUACACGUGGUUGACAAAGAAAGGGAAGGAUGGAGGCACCAUGCUGAAUAUGUCUGGCCCACAGGCUCAAGCGAUUCUCCUGCCUCAGCCUGAGUAGCUGGGAUUACAGGUGUGUGCCACCACGGCCGGCUAAUACACUUCCCUUUUCCUGCUCAAGUUGAGACGAGUGGCACUGAGGAAACAAGAGUUUGACUUGGAGAUGAAGGAAAGGAGUGCCUUACCAUCCAACUAAGAGGAGGAGGAGGAGGAGACUAAAAGCAGGAAGCAGCUGAAGUAAAAUGCCUAAGUGCCAACAUCCUAUGCUUUACAGAAUGCACUCUACAAAACUUCCUUCCAUACCAAUCUGAGCUGAUGAUUGUCCAUCAUGCUAUUUUUCAAUUUAAAAACUGGACAGUCAAAAAGUAGAGAAACUCAUUACAAUUUCUCAAUACCACCUUAUGUUGAAGAACACGAAUGUAACAGAUCUCUAUGUGUUCAAAUAUUUUGGAGCCCUCAAACAGCCUUGCUCCUUUUGGAAACUACUUGAAUCCAAAAGUCCUAGAUUCUGUGCAAAACUUUGGGAUUUUAGGGGUAAAGAAGUUAGAAGAAGAUUGCAACGAUACAAAGAGGCUUCUAAAGGUUCAGUUCAACUUCUAUUAAAGUAUUGAAAAAGAAGAAAGAAGGCCCCAAUUUGAAUCUAUGUUGUAUAUGUUUCUUGAUCUUUAAAUUCUGUCUCAUUCAAGGUUUUUGGAUUAUUUUGUUUUGUUUUAUAUCAUGGACUUCCUUGGGUAAAGUCUGUGCUCCCAUUCUCAGAAUAAUAUUUUUAAAUAACAUAAAAUGCAUAGUGUUUAUGACAAAAAUUACAUAUAUAUGUAUUAAAUAGAUGGACAAUAGGUAAAUAUAUAAGUAGAUGGGCAGAUAGAUACACAGAUGACAAGGUCACAUAUGCAGUCCACUUUAAAUGAAACAAAAUUCCCAAUUUAGUUAUCCAAGAGCCAAAAAGACUGAUUAGCAACAAGGUGGCCCCUAGAAACAGAAGGGGACACAGCAUCUUUCAAAUAGCUUCCCUUAGGUGACAAUGUCAUUCCAACAUCAAGUACUGCUAGAAGUGAGAACCUCAUUUCUUGAUGUGCCACAAUCCUUUUAUACUCUUAUUUAGCUUUUGCUAAAUUUAGGAAGAAUGUAAACAAAUAUCUAUGCCUUUAAUAGAAAACAACUGAGUCCGUCCUGAUUCUAAAGCCAAACUCAGCCAUAAUAAGAUGACUCCUUCUUUCAAAGAAAAUAGCAGAGUUAGAGACCAGGAGCUCCUAAAUAAUAUCUCUACCUUUAAUAUCCUUGAAAGCCCCAUUCCUCACCAGUCUGGACAAUACAUGUUGUUCUGGUCUUUGAGGAAUGACUAGAUUUUCAGUGAUAGAGACAGAAUUGUGGUUUAUCUUAAGGUGCUCCAUCACAGAGUACAGGGAGAAGCCUGGAUGCGAUGAAGAAACUGCUAGCAGUCCAGUCCACCAAACUCUAACCUCCUUUCAUUCCAUAGGAACAGAAGUGUCAGCCUACGGCUGCCCAGACCCAUGAUGUUUCCCUGCUUCACUGGUGAUAAGGUAGACUCUCCAGCAUAAGAAAAAGAGGUGGUGCAAUUUCCUGGCUAUUGCCCUUAAACAGUGGAUGUACUGCUUACAUGUUCUAUUUGCCCUUCCCUGUUGUCUGCUACUCAGAUGCAUUAGUGGCUCUGUUGCGACCAUGCAGACUAGAAGAUGUUAGAAAAACAAGAUGGAAGGAAACUCUUCCCUGAAUUAUUGGGUAGUAUUUGUUCACCUGUCGAUCUCAAGAAUUUUCCCUAUCCUGGCCCAGCAUAACUAUAUGAAAGAGAGAUAAACUCCUAACUUGCUUGAACUAUUAGAGCGUUUUUGUUAUAACAGUUUAGCCAACUCUAAUGAAUAUAAGCAUUGUGUAUAUAAUAUUUCAUCCCCAUACACCAUUUUGAGCUAUAUAUCCAAAUUGUGUAGUGAACAAAGUCAAUUUAGUCCUAGUGCUGGAAAAACAAAUAGCUUUGGGAAAAUCAUUUGUCCAACGCCACUCAAGAUAGGCCAAGGCCUUGAAAUGUGGUACAAUCUUGUACUUACAAAGUGACUAUGGCACUGACUCUUCCCAGAAUAUUUAUUAACAAUAAGUGAACAGAUAAUUUCUCAGUUUGGAAUACAAAGUUUUAAUUCAAAGUGUUUAAUAUACUAACUUUGAUUUAAAGUUCUAAUCAACUAACCAAAGAGGGAGAAAUUACUCAUUGAACAGUUCUUAAUAUUCACUUACAAAAUUUAAACUUGUAAAUCUUGAAGAAUCAAUAAAUCUAAGUGGUGGAAGUAUUCCCAAUUUACCUAU